rnacentral:rRNA from 1 species
UACAGAGGUCUCAAGCGUUGUUCGGAUUCAUUGGGCGUAAAGGGUGUGUAGGUGGCGCGCUAAGUCGGGUGUGAAAUUUCGGAGCUUAACUCCGAAACUGCAUUCGAUACUGGCGUGCUUGAGGACUGGAGAGGAGACUGGAAUUCAUGGUGUAGCAGUGAAAUGCGUAGAUAUCGGAAGGAACAUCAGUGGCGAAAGCGACUUCCUGGACCAGUACCGACGUUCAGGCACGAAAGCGUGGGGAGCAAACAGG